rnacentral:rRNA from 1 species
CGGGAGUGAAAUACGAACGGAGGUGAAAACCGUAAAAGUCUCGCAUAAGCAGAUUGGCGAGGAGGUAUGCCUAUGGGCUCCUUGAUACUCUGGCAGAAUGUCUUGUGAUGUAAUCAAGGUAAAAAUCACCUGCGCACGCAUGUAUAGUCUCUCAUGUAUGAAAUUCUUUAGGCUGUUAUUAGUGGGAGAAACCCACCGGAGCCGUAGCGAAUGCGAUGCUCUUAAUCAUAUUGGGUGCUAAAAAUUUCUGAACACUGAGCUUUAGGUGUGACGCGCGUAUAAACCCUGGUGAUGCGAGAGGUCGCGAUAAGACCUAAGAUAAUUUGAAGCAUUGGGUUGAAAAUCUAAGUUGGACGGUUACCGAACUGAGCUCUGAUGUUUGUCAUAAGACACUCAAGCUGGUAUUGAGUCUUGUCGAAAAAUCAGAUCCAUGAACGAGAAUGUUGUAACAUAUUGCGCACACAACGCAAAACGCGGAGCACUCACGCAGGCAUAUCUCACCCGACCAUGCGUAGGUGUGUAGAGACGUCUUGCACGAACAAGUAGGCGAUUGGGACACUUGGACAAUCCUUAGGGGCCUGGAAUAGCCACUUCCGGAGAAUUUUUCGUGCGGCCGCGAGCCAGAUGCGGGUAGAAAACGAAAACUUCCGAGAGAUCUGAGUCAAAACUGAUAGAUAUCGAUAAGGAGAUUACAGACCGUUCAUAUAAUGACAAAUGAGGUCAAGGUCGCCUAUUAAUGAUGAUCGGGAAGCUUUGAGGGAAGAAAAAGUUUAAUCGAGACGCUUCAUUCUCGCAUACGAGAGCAGGAGUGUGAAAGAACAGCCCGAUACCAGCGUCAAUGCCUAUGGCCGACGCCCCCUAUAAACACUGCACUGCCCUAGUCUGUCUGCCGCACCAGAACAUCAACUCCAAACAUACGAAACACACCUUUAAAGAAAAUUCCUCGACUGCAGGAGUAGGGGUGCAGGAGAGUACGUUAACCCCGGGGGGAAGGUGGGGUAGAUAACUCCUAGUCGAAUCCCGUGAAAUCGCUAGAGAAGGGUCAGCGUAACACCAGUUUAAUUCAGGCACUUACCCUUGAAAAGAGUGCGUAAUAGCUCACUGAUCGAGCGCUCUUGCGCCCGAAGAUGAACGGGGCUUAAGCGAUCUGCCCGAAAACUGUGGGAUGUAAAAAUACAUCGGUAGGGGAGCGUUCCGCCUUUAGAGAGAAGCCUCCGCGCGAGGCGGUGGUGGACGAAGCGGAAGCGAGAAAUGUCGGCUUGAGUAACGCAAACAUUGGUGAGAAUCCCAAUGCCCCGAAAACCUAAGGGUUUCUCCGCAGGUUUCGUCCACGGAGGGUGAGUUCAGGGCCUAAGAUCAGGCGAAAGGCGAGUCGAAUGGACCAACAGGCUGAAUAUUCCUGUACUGUGCCUGCCUUGUUGGUCCGAGGACGGAGAGGCUAGGUUAGCCGAAAGAUGGUUUAUCGGUUCAAGAACGUAAGGUGUCACCCUGCUUUGUCAGGGUAAGAAGGGGGUAGAGAAAAUGCCUCGAGCAAUGUUUUCGAAUACCAGGCGCUACGGCGCUAGAGUAACCCAUGCCAUACUCCAGGAAAAAGCUCGAACGACUUUGGAGCAAGAGGGUAACCUGUAACCCGAAACCGAGCACAGGUGGGUAGGUAGAGGAAUUACCUAGGGGCGGCAGAGAACACCGUCUCUAUUAGGAACUUCGGCAAGAAUAGCCCCGUAACAUUUCGGAGAAGGGGUGCCAGUCCUCACAAAGGGGGUACGCAGUGACCAGGUGCCCGGGCGUACUGUUUUACCAAAACACAGGUCUCUCGCAAGUCGUUAAGACCAUGUAUGGGGGGCUGACGCCUGCCCGGGUGCCCGGAAGGUCAAGGAAGUUGGUUGACCUGAUGCAGGGAGCCGGCACCGAAGCCUCCGGUGAACGGGCGGCCGUAACUGAUUAGACGGUCCUUAAGGUAACGCGAGAAAUUCCUUGUUCGGGUAAGUUUUCCGACCCGACGAAAAAGGCCCGUAACGAUCUGGCAUUGUCUCGGAGAGAGGCUAAUCGGUGAAAUAGACAUGUCUGUGAAGAUUGCCGGACUAUCCUGCACUGGAUCAGAUAAGCCUAUGAGAGGCUUUCGUACUGUUCCCUGGGAUUGGCUUUUGGGCCUUCCUGCGUCAGCUUAGGUGGAAGGCGAUAGAUAUGCCCUCCUUCCGGGGUGGCUCCGAAGCCAUCAGUGAGAUACCGUCUCUGGAAGGCUUAGAAUUCUAACCUUGUGUCAGUGUAUUACCCUACGGGCCAAGGGAAUACAUGUUCUCAUGGUAGACAGUUUCUAUGUGGCGUUAGGCCUCCCAAAAUGGUUAACGGAGUCGUGCAAGGUUCCUCGGGCCGGACGGAGAUUGGCCUGAGUGCCAAAGGCAGAAGGGAGCUUGACUGCAAACCACCCGUCGAGCAGGGACGAAAAAGUCGGCCUUGGAUGCCGACGGUGCCGGAGUUGGAAGUGGCUCCUGUCCUGCUCAAACGGAUAUUAAUUAUAUCUCUAGGGAUGAUACUGAGGCUGAAUCUUCCCAAGUAGCUCCUCAUCGACGGGAAGGAUUGCACCUUUCUAUGUCGGCUCUUCUUUCGUCCACCUGGGGUUUGUUAUCUUUUUGUGUUUUUUUUUUUUUUUUUUUUUUGUUUUUCUUUAUAUUUUUUUUUUUUUUUUUUCUGUUAGUUAUGUUCCAAAGGGUUGGGCUUGUUCGCCAAUUAAUUAGGUCUGGUACGUGAGCCUGGGUUCAGAACCGUCCCAGUGAGACAGUUUCGGUCAUAUAUCCGGAUUGUGGGCGGUUUGAGCAUUGAGAGGACUUCCCUAGUACGAGAGGACCGGGAAGGAACGCACCUCUGGUGUACCAGUUAUCGUGCCCACGGUAAUCGCUGGGUAGCCAAGUGCGGAGCGGAUAACUCGUGAAAGCAUCUAAAGUAGUAAGCCCACCCCAUUUAGAUGAGGUUGCUCUCCUAUUCCGACUUCCCCAGAGCCUCCGGUAGCAACAGCCGAGACAGCGAACGUUGGUUCUCUGCCCCUGCGGGGGAUGGAGCGACAGAAGUUUUUUUGAGAAUUCAAAGAGAAGGUCACGCCGAGACGAGCACGUUAUCAAUUACGAUAUUGGUGUCCAAGUGGAGUGCAGUGAAUGUUAAUGCGCUGUGCAUCCUAACAGAUCCGGUAGACCUUGAACGC